rnacentral:tRNA from 1 species
AAAAAAAUAGUUAAAUUUAUAACCUUAAUAUGUCAUAUUAAAAUUAUUAGUUUUAGUCUAAUUUUUUUUA